CUCGUAGGCAUGCCAUCUGCUGCAUAACCAGAGGGGCGAGUUUUUGGAGCUGGAGGCAUUCCAUGGAUAAGGAACCUUUCCGACCCUUUCGUCCCAGACCUACAGGCAAGAAUCCAGCGUCUAAAACUUGGUGAUGCACACAGCUGUUUUCACUGACAGAGAGAAUACCACAAAGAGGAACAAGGAAAACUCAUGUACCUACAUCACGAUGACCAUGGACACCAUUAUUCCCCACCUACGAUGUGCCAGACACUUCAUGUGGUUUCACACAGUCAGCACUUUGCCUGUAUGCACAGACCACAGAUGAGCAGCCUCUCCCGUCACCAGCAUCCCCACCAGAGCGGCUCGCACAGCACAGCGGAUGAAUCCACGUGGGCACGUCACUCUGGUCCAAGUCCACAGUCCACACUAGGGCUCACUCCUGGGGUUGCGCAUCCUACGGGUCGGGACGACAGUAUAACGGCACGUGUCCACCAUCACAACAUCACACGGAGCAGUUCCACCGCCCUGAACAUCUCUGGGUUCCACCCAGUCAGCGCUCCCUCUGCCCAGCCCCUGGCAACCACUGAUCCUUUUUACUGUCUCCAUAGUUUUGCCUUUUCCAGAAUGUUAGAUAGUUGGAAUCAGACAGUUUAUAGCCUUUUCAGACUGGCUUCUUUCACUUAGUAAA